rnacentral:tRNA from 1 species
CGGGUAAUGGCUGACGGCGACGGCCGGCGGUUUGCGGCCGCCGGCCCACCGUUCAGAAGUCGAUCUUCGCGC